CACGCAGCCUUCGGGGAGUCACUUGGCCCCCGGAGCGUUCAGCCUGCUCCCUCCCACCAGGAGGGGGCACCAGAGCAAGCUGGGGCAAAGGUGAGCCACUCCCCCUCACAGAUGUCUCACUCUGUCCCCCUGCCAGUGGCCCAUGGUCCCCAGGUCACCCCCACGCUGGAGAUGGGGAAACUGAGGUUCAAAGAGUUUAAGCAACGUGAUGGAGCCCAUUCAGUUAAUGCUGCCGGCCACGGGGGUGCAUUGCUGAGGAUGGAGGGAGAUGGGCACUUCCCUUCCCCUUGGGGCAGUGAACGUGCAGGAGUCACCCCUCUGCUCUUGACCCAGAGACCCCACCAGCCCAUUUAUCACCUACUCAAGCCCAGGUGAGGCAGUGGGCAGUGCUCCCAGGAGACACGGACAUGGCUCAUAAACCCCUCUACAGUGAUGCUAACAAACUGAAUUAGUCUCCAUACAGGAAGUUUCAGCUUUCUGUCACUGAGACAACAUACUGGAAUAAUCAACUUCAAAGGAGGAAAGUUUUAUUUUGAUGCAUUUUCAGAGGGCUCAGUUUGCGGUCAGCCCCUUUGUGUUUGGGUCUGUAGCAAGGCAGAACAUCAGGUGACAGAGGAGUCUGCUCACCACAGCAGCUGGAAAAGAGAGAGGAGUAAGGGCUGAGGGUUCUGGGAUCCCUACUGUAGCCUGUUCCUAAUGACGAACUUCUUCCUCAAG
ensembl:lncRNA